AACUAAGGAAGUGACCAAGGAAGUAUUCCACGCUGUUCCAUGAAGUAUAAAUAAGCCGGUCAGAGAGACCUCGCUCGCUCUUCUUCUGGCGAGGUUUGGGAAUGGUAGGACCCUGCAUUGGCCUUGCUGAUCCGGAGCUGAGACCUGCGGCGACUGCUGUGUCUGCCGCGCGUGAGGAGAGAGUGCUGGGCCGCGUCCGGCCGUCCUGGUUUUCUCAAGGGAAGUGGGGAGAUUUUGCUAAUUCUUUAUUUUGUCGGUUACUGGGUUUUUCGAUUGUGCAUACCUGUUUUGGUUUUGUCCAUUUUUGUCCCUUUUUGCCCCUUUUUGUCCCUUUUCGCUGCCCCUCUUUCCCUUUUGGGAGUGAUUUGGGGUUCCUGUGUUCAUAUGUACAUAGUACCUUAAUUGUAUAUAUGUGAUAUAUGUAGAAUAUAUAUAUAUAUAUUAUAUAGCUUUUGCUAUUCCGUUUUUUUUUUCUUCUCUCUCUUCUGGGAGCUUUUCUUCUGUGGUCUGUGGGGUUUGGCGGGAAGCCAACUACAACCGGCUCCAUACUCACCCUCACAGAAACUGCAUUCACCUCCCUUUUGUGCAGGUGAUCGUGUCGUGCAUCGUGUUUGUCUGCUCUCCUGGAGCAGGUACAGGCUCAGACACACAUAGACACCAGACUGCAUCACAUCAGAUGCAGGUGUUCAUCCUGACUCAUUUUGGCAACGAUCCCAUGCACGGAUAUGUGGUAAGAUUGAUUUCAGAUGAAUGGGGUUUGGGAGGUGCUAAAAGAUGGAUCCUGGCUUGUGUGGUGGUUGGAAAGAGUUUGGUCAUUCCACAGAAGUACAUUGCUGAACUGGGCUUCUAAAGUCCCCCUCAGAGCCAAAGAAGAAGUCAGAGAGCAGCAAGCUGAGAACACAGACUGCUUUGAUCUUGUGAUGUCAUGAAGGCUGCAGAGUGAAAAAAGGUUGUUCCCUUUUAGACUGGGUGUGGAAAUUACCAGAGGUGUGCUGUGCUGAAUUUAACACAAAGAGAGAAGUCUGGUAUUUGUAGCCCUUCACUCUUGAGGUUUUGUGGCACUGGUUUGAGUUUGAUUUAAAAUGCUUCACAAGGAGCUCAUCUUCUGGAGCAAACAAAACUGUGAAACAUGUAUUGAUUUAAUGGGGUGGGUUUGGUUUACUUUCUUUUCAUUAAGACAUGCGCUGCCUAUAGGGCUUAGUGGUUAUUUAUAUAUUAGUAAAUAAUAGGCUAUUUCUAAAUUAGUUAAUGACAUUUCUAAAUUCAUAUAUAUGUAAUAAUACUUACUUGUUUUUUGCCAUUUGCAGAGAAUAGGAAUUUAAGGUCUGCUUCCCAAGAUGUCAGAGCAAUUUCUACUGUUGAUGUAAACUCUGUAUGUAGAGAGGAAUUGUAGUCAAUAUUUUUCUGCUCCUUUUUUUUUAAGCAAAAAUUAAUUUUUCUAAAUAUUUUUUUUCUGGAAAAUACUGGAGCACAAAAUUAUCUUUGGAGCCUCAGCGUCCUGGAAAGACAGAUUUUUGACAGUACAUUGUGAAAAAAUAUCAUAAAGUGAAAUUCAUAUUGCACAAAACAAAAACACCCUCAAAAUGUUGUGAUAUUUUGUGGUUAAGAUGAACAAUCCUACAGUUGUCAUCAUGUCAGGAAUUGACUGCACGUGCCCUCUAAAUUCUCACUACUGAAGGAACAGUAACAAUGGCAAAUACAGUGCUCCCAGUUUUAGGGUGCACCCUUAUGUGCUGCAUAAUGCUGUAAGACACUUAAUGGUAGGCAAAUCUUGGGGGGGGGAACCUGCCUGGAGGAGGCUGAGAUAAGAAUUUCAAAACAUCUCUCGGAAUUCUGCAUUGCUUAUUUCUUUAAGUUGUUUGUAUGCACAGGGAGAGCUGGAAAAACAUGGCCAAAUAAUCUGAAUAAUUGCUGUGAAUAGAAAAACAUGCAGUGAGGAGAUAUAACGAGAGAUAGAUGGGACAUUAGUGUGUGAGUUGCAAAUGUUAUCCAAAGGUUAUCUUCAGUUACUGGUGCAGGCAGACAGUGAAAUGGGUGCUAAUGCAGGAGAAGAAAGGAAAAAAAUAUUCUCACUUCCUGAUUUUUCUGAGUUUCGCGUGUGUGCUUUGGGAAUUCAGACAACCUUCCCUGUGUCAGAGGUUUGACUGAUUGGGAGACAAGGCUGUUAAAAGAAAUUCAGAGUGGUGAGAUGGUGCUCUGCUGCAAGUACAGCAGAGGUCAGUAGUUGGUGAGUGCUGUGAACAUUUACAGACUUAACUUGAUGUUAGUUUCAUUGCCUUUUGGUGAAGGAAUGUGUUCUUAGGAUAUGAGAUAAUUACAUUUCUAGAUUUUCCUUCAUCAUCGUGGACCUUAGAAACUACUUUUUAAUGAAAACAUAAUUUCCUAAUGAUGUGAAUCUAGGAGCUGAAGUUUGAAAACUUUUUUGAGAGCUGGCACUAAAUUUGUGGCAAUCAUGACUACAGACUAUUAGCUGUGAUCACUUUUAGUGUGUGUGUUCAGCUCCUAUAAAGAGCAACCUCCCCUGUAAGAGAACAGCACAUAACUCAUAGUACAGUCUGACAGAGGUCUGUCUCCACAGCAGAUAGGAAAACUGGCUGGCAAUAAGGCAGUAGAAGAGGCCAGAAGAAAGACCAGAUAUCAACUGGUGUUCAGCAUAAUGGCAAAUCUUAAGGUGUUUUCUUUUCUUGUUAUUUUCUUCCAUCAAGGAAACCCAUCCUCUCCCAGCUGUGUGGCUACAGCAGGGGACUGAGGCCAUUGUAACAGAAGUGACAGAAAUGUGACUAAAAUUUCCUGGGACAUAUGAGCUUCACAGGGAGCUGUCAGCAGAUUGUUUGGAUGUUCUGGUCUCCUGACAACACUUCUACAGGGUUGUGGCUGCAUAUGCCUGUCUUCCCGUAUUCCCUAGGCAUUGCCUCUCCUGUGUUUUUUUCCACUAUGGGUUUUCAGCAGGAUUAAGUUUCCUCAGGAAGCAGCCCUUUCAGUUGAUUGCUUUAAGAUGGGUUGACAGCCAUAGUUUGGAGCAAAUGUUAAGUGCACUUUCAGCUCCCCCCGAAAUUGAGUUUGAUUUUCUUUGACCUAGGCACACAAACUCCUACAGUAAAUAUCCUGCUGUGAAGUUUAGAAGUAAGCGUAUUGUCUCAGCCUUAGCAAGUCUCAGGCUUGUUUCUUGCUUGCCAUAAAUUCUCCAUUUGCUGUCACUAGCAAAGGACUUCAUUUACCUCAGAUAAGGUGUCCUCAGCCUGUCUCUGGCAUUGUUUCUUCAGCAGAUCAGUGGAUUUACUGUAGUUGAUGCACCAGCUUCUAACCAAGUGUCAAUCACCAGUGCAGAGAACUUUUCUCAUGCCCUCUCUUCAGACUGCACUGAGCAGUGUGGUGGCUGUAGGUGGUGAACACCUCUCCAGCUCCCUCUUAAAGAGCCCUGUCACACACAGAGAGGUUAAAACACAUGGAUGAAAGGCAGGUUUCCCUUAUCUGCCUCUUUAUAAAGCUUACUAUUUCCUUUCCACAAGCACGUGGAACAAAGCAUUUAAUUUCAGAGCAAAUGGAAUGUCAAGUGAAAUGGUUUGGAGGGGGGAAUUUUGUUCUGCAGAGAAAAAAAGGUUGGUCCAUGACUGUUUGUAAUUUUUAUAUUCACUCUACUGUUUUGGUUCAGUGACUGAACCAGAAAACCAAUUGUUCAUACAGCACCUGUGUAGAAAGGAAAUACAGAUGCAACUAGAACCAUGUCACUGUAAUCUAAACUUGUGCAUUAGAGGUGGCACUGAAAACUUUGGAGGUAUGCAAACAUCUAAAUACUACUUUAAAAAGAGUGACAGAAAGAUGAGUGUUUGGGUAAUUGUCAUUUGUUCAUAGAUUAAUUGCAUAUGAAAGCAAGGCAGAAACUGUACAUUUUAAAAUGGGAAUUAUGACUUUUGAUCCUGAUAAUUUAAAUUAGUUUCACAGACUCUAUUAUGUGACUUGACUGUGAUCACAUGCGUGGCUUAGCCCACCCAAUAAAAGGUUAUUAGGCAUGGAAAUGAGGUGUUUCUGCAAAAUACUCUUAUUUAGGUCUCAGCCCAGAGACCAUGCUGGGAUCAGUACUCUCUGCUAUGUUUGGGGCCGGAAUAGGGACCCUGGCCAGGUAAAGGAUGAGGAUACUGAGGCAGCUGCUUAGCUGGACUAAUCCCAAAAAGGAUCUGCUGAAGACAUGUGGUUAAGGGUAAAACUAAGGCUGGGAUUGGCAUGGGGUCAUGGAUUAGGGAUAGAGCUGGAAAUGUCUGGAGUUUCUCAGGUACUGUUAGGAUGGGGCUGAUAGGAUUUAGUUUCCCAGACAGGGUCAGGAUUGGCCAUGUAUAGGUUUUUGCUGUUUGUUUCAUAAUGUUCUGCAAUUAUUACAAAGAAGCCAUAGUAUUCAUUUCUAAAAGCCUGGUAAGAGCAAAGUGAUUCAGCGUCGCAGCAACCCUGGAGAAGUGGGAUUCAAGAGUUACUCAUCCAGACAUCCCAGAUGCACAGGUCCCCUUUGAAUCAAUGACAAAUUGAUUUUGAAGCAUCUGUGGCUUCAUUGCAAGUGCACAGAUGUUUGGUUUGCCCUCUUUUACAGCCACUUUGUGACUAGUUCAGAAGCUCUUCUCUUCAGGCUGUUAGUGUAAUCUGUUGAGAAAGGAUCAUUCGGAAGGGACUUUGGAGCUGUGAUUCAUUUUCAGAAACAAGCUGAUUUCUGCCAACUGACAAUGGAAGUAGCCUGAGAGAAACCAUCCUCAGGGUGAGUGAACACUCCCAAGAGCAACAUUCUCUUGCUUUUUGCUGUAUUUCUUUUCCAUGAAUUCUCAUGAACAACUUUACCACUGAAGGAUAGAGCAGUCUCACUGGGUUUUGUGUCAGUGUACCCAGUUUUUAUAGUUUUGUUGAAUGUUUUGCUGCCAGGGAGCACUUCAGAUCUUGCUCAAAGGGGAAUUUGGUUUAAAUCAUAGUGACCCUCCUUGCACAUAAGUACUAGUGACCUCUGCUGGUCCCAACCACUGAUUCAGUCUUUCUGGAGCUGCCUGUAAGUGUUGGUCCCAAGUCUGCGCAGAUGCUGAGAUUUAUCCUUAACUUGAUCCCUUAAUGUUUACAUUAAACACCUUUAUCCAAGUGGCAGAUUGGCAGAGACCUUCUGAAAGUGUCACUGCCCAAAGUCCUUCUGACACACGUGUUGGUGCCCACUGUGUGCCUGUGGCUGCUGGCAGUGUCACAGACACUGGGUGUCCCUCUUGCGGGGGGGCUGAGAGUUCAGCAAAGCUUCCCUCUCUUCUCUUUCAGGAAAAGAAAAGUUGAGCAAAUAAUGGAGCAUAAAGAAGCUCAAGUCUUGUUUUUCUUAGCAUUUCCCAGCUUAAGUUAAGUACCCAAAGGUGAAGAGGGAUUUUUACAAGAGCAUAUGGUGACAGGACAAAGGGGAAUGGCUUCAAACUGAGACAGGGUAGGUUUAGAUUAAAUAUUAGGAAGAAAUUCUUCCCUUUGAGGGUGGUGAGGCCCUGGCACAGGUUGCCCAGGGAAGCUGUGGGUGCCCCAUUCCUGGAAGUGUUCAAAGCCAGGUUGGACAGGCCUGGUCUAGUGAGAGGUGUUGCUGCCCAAGGCAAGGAGUUGGAAAAAGAUGAUCUUUGAGGUCCCUUCCAACCCAAAUCAGUCUGUGAUUCUAUGGAAUCAGUUUUUUUCUGUGGAAAACAUAGCACUCUGCUGGUGUCACAGACAGGUGGGGUUUAGUCAAUGGCUUGUCGUGGAAGCAAUGCUGACGUCAGUUUUUCAUCUGAGUCUAGAAAUGCUUCUUUAAUUAAAUAUUCCAGGGCAAUUAUUGACAUCUUUAAAGGCAAAUUUUGCUUCUAAGACAUACUUAAUGCAGUAUAUGAUUCCCAAGUUUAGCAGAACUCACUGUAGGCAGGUCUUCCUUAAUUUACAAGCGUCAUGUUCUUUUAAAUGCCUCCACUACUGUCUGUCUACACUGGAAAAAAAACCCCAAAAUCUACCUCUUAAAAAUCGCACUUAAAUUUGCACUUAAAAAGUCCAAAAAAUGUUGGAAGAAUACUAUGCCAUUUAUAAUGCAUUGAAAGCCCUAUUAUUGAAAUAUUAAAGUAUUAAAUUGUAGAGCCUGUCUAAAAAAAUCACUAGGAGAGAUGCAUUAAUUCUGAGUAUUUAGAUGGGUCAGUGUAACUCUGGUUACAGUGGUGACUUCACUGUAAUCCUGUUACCAUCAGGAUGGUGACAGCAAUGCAGCUCCCACAUGAAAGAAAGCAGAAUUUCAGCAACUCCAAAACUCUGAGCCCUUGGGAAUUUUACCAGGCAUAGUGAGUUCAAAAGUCAGCAUCUGUUGUUGCUAAUUAUUCCAUAAUAAUCAGUAAAGCAAAUCCCACUUGGGAAGGAUCUUCCCCGUGCUUUUAGAAACUAACAACAGAAGACAGAGCCCUUGGAGCUGAGGUUCAGUGCUCAGUGAGGUGAUUAUGCAGUUAUGUUAGCAAGGAUUAGAAGGAGCAAGCCAGCUGCCUCUGCCACCCCUGAUAACACACAAAAAAAUGUAUUUUCUACUUGGUGUGAUUUUUCAAGACAAAAUGCAAAGUAUUAUCUAAUGCAUCAGUGAUUUACAGCUGAGCAAGUCUAUAUAGACUAAAUAGAUUAUCUUUUUUUUUUAAAUACCCAGCUUUCCCACAAAAUGUUUAACGCUUUACCACUUAAGCAGCCAACUAAUUAGAAUGAUUUCAGAUGGAUUUAAUUUCCACUUUGUCGACAAAAUUCCUGAAAUAAUAUUGUUCUCGAUGAUCUUAUCUCACGUCUGUCAAACCUGUCUGCGCAGAAGGAUUUGGGCCUUCUGAUUUCAAUUUUUUCUUUAAAUGUUUAUCUCAAUGUGAACAUUCUUCUUGAAAGAUAGAAAAUUAAUUUUUUUUUUUUGUACAGUUACAAUAAUUACCAUAUAUCUCCAGAGAUUGUGAAUCAUUCAUAAAAGGAUUUAUACUCUCUGGCAAAAGUUAUCCUUAGACAGUACAAAGCCAGAAUUGCAAGGAUAACGCUGGGAGACCAUGCAUUUUGGAUCAUGAAAUGAAGAAACUUUGGGCUUCUCUUGUUCUUGUUCCCAAGAAAGCUCUGAUUUUGUGCUAGAACUUCCAGGUGGGUAUCUGCACUGUCCUGUCCCCAGUGUCAUGGCCAAAUAUUUCUCUUCUUCAGAGACAGCUAUUGGACUUGGUCAUACCAGGCCACCCCUCAAGACCCUUUUUCUGUCUCUCUCUUUAAAAUUGUGUAAUAUAUAAAGUCUGAUUAGCCCCAGAAUGGAUCAACUCUCUAGAUUGCAUCAGGGAAUUUCAUAUUCAUUAAAUAGCUUAAGCACGUUUCUUACUCUGUGAGAUGAUUGAAUUUCAGUGUACAGUUUAUCCUUGCAGUGCUUGACUUAAUGUCUCAUGAAAAAACCAAGAGGUCACAAACUAAAAGGAGUGUUGGUUGGGAAAGUUCUCUGCCAGAGCAACUACUCAGCCAGCAGUGAUGAUCAAGGGGUUAUCUCCCCCCAGCUGCCCAAGAUUGUCUUUCCCCUUGGUGAAGUUUGUGUGGUUUCCUUCAGCCCAUUCCCAAGUUUCUCAAAAUCCCCUUGACCGAAACAACAGAUUUCAUCAGUUCUGUGUGAAUCUCCAGCGUGAUGAGAAUGAGCCUGAUACCUGUGCAAUAUCAUGUGGCCCCGUGUGUAUGUAUUCUAGUUGAGAGAGCAGAGCCAUAGCCACCCAUGUGUGUGCAAAAAAUACAUUGUUUAUUGCAAUGUAGGAUGCAAGGCUUGGUAAAAUAGCAGGGCAAACAUGUCAUCUUUGUGCUGCAAAUCUUCCAGCUAUUGCAUGUGGCUUGUUUGAAGCACAUCUUACCACUGGCUUGUGUUUUAUGAGCCACAGCCCAUGAGGUGUCUACAGUCAAAAAAACUGUGCCAGAAGUUAAUGCUUGGUACUGGAUGCCCACACAAAAUGGGAACCAUGGUUUUAGUUUAAAAAGAAAAAAAAAAAAAGAAAUGGAGACACCCACCUUUGACUUGCAGAAGUUACUGGAGAAGUACGUCUGCAAUUGCCUUUGGCUUUUGGGCCAUCCCUCCAUAAGACCAUGACACAAGGGGUUGCUUUUCCAUUCUUUGUGACUUACUAAGAUUUUGGAAGGUUCUGCAUGCGGAGAGCAAGUGGGACAUUUUAUCUUUUCACUUAGACACUGAUCAAGAUACCAUUGCGGUCCUGUGACCACUGCCUGCCUGAAUGUUACACAAAGAAGUUCAACUUUCCUACCUGCCUGGUCAGCCUGGGCUCAGUGUCUUGGUCUCUUACUCAGCAGGCAAGUGCUUUAGCUGCUGGUUCUGCUCUGCACAGCUCUGGAUUUGACCAGAGGUUUCAUCCAGGAGCUGAGGAAUCCAGACAACAAUAAACACUGUUGAAACAUUUAAUGCUAAAUAACAGAUGCAGUUUCAAUGAGUCAGCAUUUUCUGACAAAAGCAAAAUGCGAUCAGGAAAUCCCUGACUUGAUCUAAUCCUUACCAAAGUCUUGAUCAGUGUGUAAAUUCUCUUCACUGCAGAGUUGUAAAUCAUCAUUUCGUUACAGACAUUGAAAAAUUCUGCUCUCCCAAUGCAGAAACAGUGCUGCCAUCUCUUCCAAUUAAUUUUCAUCAGCCUUUUCAUAGUAAUUAUUGUUUUAAAUCUCCUUCACCUGAAUUCCUGUGAAUAUUGACUUGGUUUCUGUCUCAUUUUGUGUCAUCUACAUCGUCUGCCUCUUAGUGAUAUUUUAUUUUGACAUGUAAAUACUGUGAUGUCUUCCCUCUCUUCACUGUUGUUGCUUGCUGCUGGCUGUUUUGCUUGCAUAACUAAUUGCAUGGGUAUUUAUUAAAAGGGUUUUUUUCUUUCAAGGAGGUCCAGCCUUUGCUCUCUCCUCCUGGUGUUGCAGUGAAGUGCACUUCCACAAUUAACCAUUAAGUGGGGAUGUAAAUUAAGCUGCUGGACUAGCAGAUAAAUGAAUCUGUCACAUGUAUAAUUGCUAGGCAAAGUGGCUACAAUUUUAGCUAUUUUCAUUGGCCUAUUACUGCAGCUUUUUAUUGCUAAAAUAAUAAAUCAUUGUUUUUGUAGAAAGAGGUAUGUACCAAUGAGCUGGGGGGGAGAUCUGUUGCAUAAGCAAUAAAAUAAGAUGUUGGGGGAUUUUUAAGAGGUGAAUUUGUAUAGGGGAGCUUUUGAGAUAUCACAUGAAGGACAUAUAUUGCACAUUAGAAAAACAACAACAACAAACCAAAAAACUUGGAGGCAUUUUUUGACAAAGUUUCUGAGGCUAAGAUAUGAUGGGUAAGUGAUGGAACCUCCAUCUGUAGUAAAUUAUACCACUAUAAGGGGCCUCCAGUGGGUCACUCAAACAUACUAUCUGCUUCUAGAAAUACUGACCUUGGUGUCUCUCUUUACCCUCAGACUUACCAGUAGCAUUGACAAAGGAACCCUAUCCUGGGCUGAAAUGUCUACUUUUAAUUGGAGAAUAUCACAUACUGUAGGCUUUGAACAGGUCAUGCACAGUUGCAGAUCCAAUUCAGUAUAAGCAAGGUGUUUGGUCUUUCUGCAAUUUCUCAAUAUUGCAAUUUUCCCAGAAAUAUUAGCAAAUAAAGAUAAAGCAAUUUUAGCUAUACCUCUGUGGCAUCCUCUGUGCUGAUUUCAGGCUCUUCUUGAAAUGCUAAUAUAUCAUCCUCACUGCUGUAUUCUUGCAGCCUGUUCCCCGAAGGGGACUCGGAUUGCCUUCUUAGGAGCAGAUUAUUUCCUGAUCACAUUUCUCAUAUUAGGGAAUCCAUGUAUUGAGCAAGAGACCAAAGUGCAAUGAUCAUUUUACAAUUUAGCUUUAUCUAGUCAUCUGUUAGCAAGUCAUAUGAUAUUUCAAGUCAUUUUAACUCUGAUGAGGAAAAGAGCUCAUCAAGACAUUAAUCACUCAGUAGUUUGUAUACAAAGCAAAUUGGUGCCUCAAGGCAUUUAAAUAAAAUACUGUCUCUUUGCCUAAAAAAGAUAUCCUUGCUGUCAAGGGCAGAGGAGGAUGUUUACAGACACCUUCAUAUGUCUACUUUGCUGGACCAUUUAAUGCUAAUUUAGUGUUAGAUUACCUUUCUGAAACUGCUAAAAAAAUCUGUUAUAUUACUGUGCUUAGCUGAGGCCCCGGGACUUCAGAGAUGAGAUUUCUAUCCACUGACAAAUCAUGGCUGGGUGGAAAAUCAAAGCAGAUACUUUUCUACAUCAGGUGUGAAAUACACUUGCAUCCUAAUCCUGACAAAUGAUACAAUAAUGGAGAGAGUGUAAAAGAUUUGUUUAUUCCGCGGAAGAGAUUUCAUCUGGGAAUAGGGGCAAAGGAAAUAUAUAUCCUUAUAUAUCCUAUACGUAUGGAAUUGCUGGAAGGCCAAAGUGGCUGUGAAGUGCUGUUUUACACCCAGGGAAUGCAGAUUUUAAGGUCUGCAUGCAAUACAGAGUGGUAAAGGCUGAGACCCUAUUUUUCUUCCCAGACCUGCUGGUCUCAUGGACGGAAACAGUCCAGGGAGUUCAAGAACACCAAAUGCACCUCAGUGGAGAGGGGCUAGUUAAGGAUUUUCAGUUGACAUAAAUCCUUAUCAUUGUCUCAUAUCACAGUGUAAUUGUGGCUGUUAAACUUUUGGGGCAAGUACCGGAAGAGUUAGGGAGUAAAAUGGGCCCUGGGGAGCAUCUCUCCAUAUGGCAGCAUGACUGGAAGACUGAGAUUUUUCAAAGACUAACGUGACCCAUCAGAGUGUUUUGCUUACGUUACUGAUGAAGUUACCCUUUGCAUUUAUUGCCCAAAUAUCUUCCCUUUUAACAAAUGACAAACUGGUUUUUUACAACUAUUUGUAUUCUUAGAAGAUUCCCUUGGAAAACAUCUCAAAUUCCUUUGUGUAAGUGCCUUUGUGGGUCUUUACUGUUUUGGAUAUAUACUGCUGGCUGGUGCCCAAUAGGAAUGCAAUUUGGAAGGAAGCUUGAGUUUGAUUUUUCACAGCACUGUUUCUUGUGCAGCCCUCGAAAUCUGGGCACUGGAGUAGGAGAUAAAACAUCUCCCAUAUGGAAAUUCAAACACCAUACCAGCUUUUUCUCUCUGUAGUGCCACCUGAAACUGGAAACCAGCAAGAAAUAAAGCCUUCUCUUUCUGCUUUCAAACUAAUGCAUCCACUUCCUUCUACUUUAGAUGGCAGCAGAUGAGCUACUCAUCCAGGCUCUCUUUAUAAUCACUGCUAAGAAACAGGCACUUCUAGAGCAUGAUUCGUCUGAUGUGUUUCAGAUGCCUGCAUCAGCAGAAGGUGGGAUGCACUGCUUUUCUCUGCCACCUGUGAAGGGAGGCCCUCUAUGUCUACUUCAGAGUUGUUAAUCAAAGACUGUUAUCACUGGAAAAAUGGAGGUCAGUGACUUAAGAGCAUCUUGCAAAAAAGAUUUGGAGAGCAGGAGCCAAAACCGAGAGUUGUGAAUGUGCAGAAGUGGACACUGAUAACACCCAUCCCACGUGCACGGUGAAGGUUGUGCCAGUGACAACUACGAGAAGAGCUGUCUGCUUGGAUGGUUUCAGAGGCUAUCUACACCCAAAGAAAGAAAGGCAGCUAACUCUGAAUGCAUCACUUUGCAAGAAAUGAAUGUCUUCUCCAACAUGCUGACACUUCUCUUCUUCUGAAGGUACUUCAUAAGGCAGAAGUAUUUUUGUUUUGUCUCUCUGUGCUUUGAGAACAUGGAGAAUUGGCUAAAACCCAGACCCCGCACCAUCUCUGUGUCAUGGCCAUCUCCCAUUGGGUGGCCAGGCUGGUUCCUUUGGGAUGGACUGGCUGCAGUGACUGCAGGCACCAUGACCAGGGUCUCUCCCAGGAGCUCGGUGCUAUCCCUGUGUCUUCUCCUGGUGGGACCCUUUGAUUCCAAGGGGACAGUAAUGACAUCCUCCAGGCCUGGGAAUUUGAGCCUCAUCAAAAAAACCUGGUGGUUCUGGACCACCAGGUCAGGAAAUACAACUUGGCUACCUCUGUUCUUAGAAGGAGACUUCUUUUUCCCCUUAGUUUCCCUUCCCUACACUAGGCUCACUACCUCUUUAGAAAUUCCAGCUUAGAAUGUUGGGGAAUUAGCAAAAACUGGGCAACAAAAGGGAUUAAAACCAUUGUGAAUAAUGUAUCGAAUGGGUAUCAAUUUCCAAAAUUAAAAUGCUAUAAAAAAUUACUUGUUUUCUCAUUGACUUUCAUUUUCCUCUUCAUUACCCCACCACAAAAAGACAAGUACCCAGCACCUACCUCCAGUCCCAUGUCCAAAGGAACAGUGGUUUUGUGCAUUCAAAGUUAGCUACCCCCUACACAGCUGCUCAGUUAAUAAUCGACCCAUUUAACAGCAGGACCAGUUUAUGCUACAUAUGUCAGAGUACCUUACCUCGAGAGAACGGCAUACAUAUCUACACUGAACUUAUAAAAUACCAGUCACAGUUCGGUACCACGGUUAUCCCAAAAGGGUUUAGUCUUCGGAGUGCUAUGGACAAUACAGUGUUUUCCCUCUAAGAGGGCUCAAAGGUUGGGCUGGGGCCCAAACUGCUGGCAAACGACAGCCAAUGGCUCCAUGUACCUGUGGCCCUGGUCACACCUGAGCCACCAGCGAGAGCGUGCUGGGUGGGAUGUGCCUUUGCCCUGGUGGGGUCAUCCACAACACAGCUGGAACACAAUUUCAUGGCUUUUUUUAUUGAAGGGGGAGAAGAACUGGGACGUAAUUACUCACACUGCCUAAUGCCUUACAAAGCUCCCCUUAAAGCCCCUCUCAACCAAGGCCCACAAAGCUCACUCCUAAAAUUAAAUAAUAAAAAAAGGGAAAAAAAAAAA